CCCCCAUCCAGGACUUGAAUCCUGCUGAAUGAGCCAGACAGUAGAUGAGCGUCCAGCUGGACGGACUCUACAUGCAAUAACCAGCGGAUCCAGGGAGCGACCGCAGUCAUCACCCCCAGGGAGAGGACUCUGAAACGGGGGACAGAUCCAGCUCACAGGCCCUCGGAUCACAAGCAGCCACACGUCUACUGGCCUUGGUGUUGACUUCGCUACUGACGACACUUUACAUGUACCUACCUAGCUGUUAACGUCAACAAUCUGCUGGUGACCCCCCUUCCAAACGCUUUCAUUUCCUGUUACCUGUGGACCCGUCUGAGGUGAAGAGGAGGGUAAAGAGAACCUCUAGACGUUCUAGAACUAGAACAGAACUGUGUCUGAUGUUCUAGAAGGAGACGGGAUGAUGUCAGACAGGAAGAGGAUAUGACAAUCAUAUAUAUAUAUAUACCUGACUAUACCUGCCAUUAAGUUUCACUAACAACCUAAUACUGAGAUAUUUAACAAAGUCUAAUGUCUCUGGCCUGAAAUACUCUCCUCCUCUUAAAACAUUUUUUUAUCAUGUAAAAAAGGGGAAAAUAAUGUCAUUGUAUUUCAUUGAUAAUAUAAACUACCGUUCAAAAAGUCUUGGGGUCACUUAGAAAUGUCCUUGUUUUUGAAGGAAACAGAAGAAUAAAAAAUGGUCCAUUUUUAAAAUAAACAUAAAAUUGAUCAGAAAUACAGCGUAGACAUUGUUAAUGUUGUAAAUGACUAUUGUAGCUGGAAACGGCUGAUUUUUAAUGGAAUAUCUACAUAGGCGUUCAGAGGCCCAUUAUCAGCAACCAUCACUCCUGUGUUCCAAUGGCACGUUGUGUUAGCUAAUCCAAGUUUAUCAUUUUAAAAAGGCUAAUUGAUCAUUAGAAAACCCUUCUGCAAUUGAUGUUAGCACAGCUGAAACACUGUUGUACUGAUUAAAGAAGCAAUAAAACUGGCCUUCUUAAGACUAGUUGAGUAUCUGGAGCAUCAGCAUUUGUGGGUUCGAUUACAGGCUCAAAAUAGCCAGAAACAAAUAACUUUCUUCUGAAACUUG
rnacentral:lncRNA from 1 species